AGAUAUGAUGAUAGCUUUUGACGCCCAGUCUUACUUACAUCUUUGAUGUAAUAUGGUGUAUGUCAAUGAUCGACUAUCUGAUCU